rnacentral:lncRNA from 1 species
GUUAUCUCAUUCCCUUCUAUUGUUCUAGUGGUUACAGAAUACCCUCAUGCUAUCUGAACUUUCUUUAUUUAUGUUUAAAAUUGAAUCUCCUUCAUUCUUCUAUAGGCUCCACUCAUGACACUCCAGGCUUUUCUUCCCAUGUUACAACAGCCAUUUCAUGCUGGAAGUUCACUUUGCCCCUGGACUUCUAUUCCUGUUUUUUUUUUUAAACAUUAUUUUAUUUGGUCAUUUCUAUUCCUGUUUUAAUUAUAUGAUCAAUGAGCUAUGUGACCAGGAAAGGAGACUUGACUAAUUAUGUAUGCAGAAGAGAAGACAAAAAGAUGGACCAAUUGUCUGCUCAGCUGGUAUCCAAAUUAUAUACAGACUUGGAGAAAGACUUUCCAGCAUGUUGCUUCGGCCUCUAUGUAGGAUUUACGGAGAUUACAAAUUAUGGAGAUUACAACAUUACAAACUGAAAGCAUUUGUGGCUCUUGGAAUAAGUAUCAAAUCCUGUGGUAAAGUCAGGUUCACUGAGUGAGUCAUACCUUUGGAAGAAGGAACUCAUGCCACCCUCUUCUGGGCACUACUGCUAGGAUUUCUAUCCACUGACUGAGUCACAAUCAAGGUGGGAGAAAUGAGGCAUGAGUCCCAACUUGGAGGACUUCAGAAUGUGCCUAACUGUGCUGUAGAGCAUGAAGAACAGCUAUGGUGCAAGACUCUUGAGAAUGAUUUGUUGGAGUAAAAGGGUUUACAUCUCCUAACACUCCAGAGUCUACUUCACAGAAGGGUCUAAGUCAGAUUCUCUUUGUUCAGAUGAUUUGGACUGCAACAUUCUGGGCACUUAUUACCAUAACUAAGGCUCCUGCUGCUGCUAAUCUGAUCACAUAGUCACAAACCAGGGGGAAGGAAGGUAGGAUUGCUGUGCCCUGAGAUGGUGAGCUCUUACCUGCCCAAGAAGGACUCUCCCUAUGGAUAGGAGGCUCUGACCAGAGGAGGUGGCAUGGGAAAGAAGGGGGCAUCCUAUUACUAUGGGAACUCUGACAUAAACUCUUGCCCCUUCCUGCCCUUGUAUGUAAGCCUCAAUAAGAGCAACAGGACAAAAUAGGUGCUAGAGUUACUUUUCAGUGGGUGAGGAGCUCACUAUACUCCCUUCUGUUAUUAUCAUUCUUCCCCAUACUUGAAGUGAAGGCAAGGCCAUUCAGGCCCAGAUCUGCUCAGUCUAGGAAGCUUAUUAAGUAGUUAAAUUUAAACUCCUACUGUCUUUUCACCUUAGUAGAGGGUCACCCAGCCUACCAUAUUUGAAAAUAUAUCUUUCUAUAUCAAUUGUCUACCACCUUUCCCUGGUAUGUACUCCAUCAUUAGGACUUCU